rnacentral:rRNA from 1 species
AGUGGGGAAUAUUGGACAAUGGGGAAAACCCUGAUCCAGCGACGCCGCGUGAACGAAGAAGUCCUUCGGGAUGUAAAGUUCUUUUAAAUGGGAAGAAGACAGUGACGGUACCAAUUGAAUAAGCCCCGGCUAACUACGUGCCAGCAGCCGCGGUAAGACGUAGGGGGCAAGCGUUACCCGGAAUCACUGGGCGUAAAGGGAGCGUAGGCGGUUAUGCAGGUCAUACGUUAAAGGAUCCGGCUCAACCGGAGAGAUGCAUAUGAAACCGUAUAACUUGAGGAUAUCAGAGGAAAAGGGAAUUACCAUUGUAGGGGUGAAAUCCGUAGAGAGUGGUAAGAAUGCCGGUGGCGAAGGCGCUUUUCCGGGGUAUACCUGACGCUGAGGCUCGAAAGCCAGGGGAGCGAACCGGAUUAGAUACCCGGGUAGUCCUGGCCGUAAACGAUGUUCACUAGGUGUAGGAUGUCGACAGGCAAACUGUGCUGAAGCUAACGCGAUAAGUGAACCGCCUGGGGAGUACGUCCGCAAGGAUG